rnacentral:snoRNA from 1 species
GUCGACGUACUUCAGUAUGUAACUUACCCAUAAGUUUCCAAUUCCCAAUAGCAUUCCAGUGAUAAAUAUUGUUACUUUCCAGACAAAUGUGACUUUGGAUUCACACAUUGCAGUGGUUUUAUGCUAUUUUCAAUUUAAAUUUGAGCACCAUUUGACUAACACAUUCUAUAGUAGGAUCAUUUCUAUAGGAAUCGUCACUCUUUGACUCUUCAAAAGAGCCACUGAAUCCAACUUGGUUGAUGAGCCACAGAACCUUUGUACCCCAGAGUGAGAAACAAACCCAAUGGAGGUGACAUCUCUUCCGAAAGGAAGAUGCAGUUUGGUUCCGUAAUCCUAAGCGGUUCGGUCAUCUGUACUGUCCCUUCGCCCAACCCUUACGUUUUGCUGUUUGCGUAUAGAAUUGGUUUGAUGCCCACAGGACUUCGGUCUUGCGGGUGGACGACCUCUUCGACCCCUUCAAAAUGGCGCGAUGAUCUUUACCCAUCUUGUGUACUUCUCUUCGUGGAAGGGACAAGUUUUUAUGGCCUAGGAGUUGAUAUCUUUCGGGACAUCUUCUCUGUUUGGGUCUUGGGUGGGUACAAAUGGCAGUCUGACAAGU